UCCGUGAGAUACGCUUCCAUCAACAGCCACACCAUCGGUUUGCUAUAGCGGAAAAGAGAUAGGAAGAAGGAAAAAAAAACAGGAAGAGACCCUACGGCCACCUUCAGUCGCAUCGCGCGGACAACGAGAUCCCGGCGGCGGCAUCCAGGAGCGUGCGGAACGCGCCCCGAGAUCCCGCUGAUCGUCGCCCUCGUCCGCGCCGGGGGAGUUCCAAGCCCGCCGUUGCCGCUGGUUGGGGUCGCGGACCCCUUCCACGGGCGGCGGCGGCGCCAAAUCCAUUACGGCGCGCGGGGCGGCGGUCGACUGAUUCCAGCGGGUGGGAGGAGGAGGAGGCCGCGGAACCCGCGGGCUGCCGGUUCUGGAGGGAGGAGGCGAAAGAUCCGGUCAUCAGGGGAGGAAAGACUGCGCCUGGUGCCCAAGCCUGGAUCGGAUUGCCUGGGCCAGGGUGUCAAUCAAACAAGGCUCGGGCGUGUUUCGUCCAUCAAACAAGCCCUAAAAUCUACCGCCGCAGUGCCGUUCUCAUUGGCGUCGUCGUUCCUGUUUUUCCUCAUCGAGUUCCUGCCACCUCUACUGCGUCCACAAUCUUUGGCGAUUGGGUUUGAGGGAAGGAGGGUGAUUGGAUCGAAAUUUAUGAUUCAUAGGGUUUCUAUUGACGAUCGCACAUCCUGAAAUGUUUGCAGCCCCGUGAAUUACGUUGAGUACUACACGUGUGUUGGCUGUGAUUGGGCAAGUUCUGCAUUACAUUUUUGCUGAUAAAAUUGGGCAUCACUUGGCUGCAAAUUAUGGAGCAUCUCCCGGUCGAAGUUAUUGGCAACAUUCUUGCACAUCUUAGUGCUGCACGAGAUGUCAUGGUUUCCUCUGCGGUUUGCCGGAAGUGGCGGGAGGCCUGCAGGAAGCAUCUCCAUUCACUGUCCUUCAAUUCAGACGACUUCCCUCGGGACAUGACCACACGUCAACUUGAGAUCAUCAUCACACAGACUAUAUUUCAGACGAUGGGACUGCAGUGCCUCUCUAUUCAUAUAGAUAACACACAUGAGUUCUCUGCAGCACCUGUGAUUGCAUGGCUAAUGUAUACCAGGGAGACACUCCGGUGCUUGUAUUACAACAUCCAAACCAACCCUAAUGUAAACAUACUGGAGAAGUGUGGGAGACAGAAGCUGGAGGUGUUGGAUUUGGACCAUAACACAAUCACCGGUGUUGAACCAAGCUACCAGAGGUUCACUUGUCUUAAAUCCCUUUAUUUGAGGCACGUGAGCAUUUCUGCCCUGGAUUUGAGCCUUCUAGUUGCUGCUUGCCCGAAGAUUGAGUCACUGGCACUUGAUGUCCUUGAGAUUGUCACGUCUGAUUCGCAGUCCACAAUGGAAUUGACAAGCCAUACCUUGAAAAGCAUCUUUGUAAAAACAGUUGGUGUGGACAAGAUCAUACUCGAUGCAGAUAAUCUGGAGGUCCUGCACCUGAAUGCUUUGAACCUUGAUUUGUUUGAGCUCUCUGGGAAGGGUACACUAAAGCAUCUCAAGAUUGAUGAUGUGAGUGUUACACAUUUGGAUAUCGGGGAGAGUACCGAUCAUCUGGAGGUUGUGGAUGUGAGUAACUUUAUGAUAGUUUGGCCAAAGUUCUACAAUAUGAUAUGUAGAGCAUGCAACUUGCGGAUGCUACGUUUCUGGGGUGUUGCGUUUGAUGAUGAUGAUGAGAUUGUGGACUUGGAGACUGUUGCUGUUGCAUUUCCCCUUCUAAGGCAUCUUUCACUAAGUUAUGAAUUACGAGAUGGACUACUGCAUGGAUUGUCACCACUGGAGAAUGUUUCGGUUCUGGAACUUGGUUGGACAGUAAUAAGUGAGCACUUUGGACCCUGGGUGUUUGGAAUGAUUGAAAGGUGUCCAAAUCUCAAGAAACUUGUCAUUCAUGGUGUUCUUUCUGAGGCAAAAACACGCGAAGAGCGCAAGAUGUUAGCAACCUUCACCUCAUUUAUAGUUUGUCUCAUGAGAAAGUAUGUGCAUGUGGAUGUGCAAUUUGAGUAUGAGUGAUCAGCCACUAGGUCGAGUGGGCAUUCAUUAUCCUUGUUCAGUUCAACUCUUGCCAUCAGCUUUGUUUCUGAUCCUACUUCAUGACGAUCAUAUGGUUUAUAAUCGCAGCUGCAUGUACCAUUGGACAUGGUUAAAGAAAGCUUGAGACCACCUAUUCACAAAAUUGCAGAUUCCUGUAUUUGCUCAUUGCAUUAAACGGCAGAACCGGAUGCGAUUCCUUUUUCUCAGAAACCCUCUCCUUUUCUCCUGCUUCAUUUGUUCAGCUGUAGUGGAAUGAUUCAGUUGGGAUUUAACUGCACAUCAUAUCAAACAUCUUUUGGAUAUUCAUGAGAUUAGAAUUUGGUUCCGAGAUUCUCUUGAUAUAUGCUGUCAAAGUGCAACUUUUGUAAACUAGACCAUUUAAAGCUUACAAUCGCAUGCCCUCAGCGGUUCUCCUCGGAAA